AUUGAACGCUGGCGGCAUGCUUUACACAUGCAAGUCGAACGGUAACAGGGAGCUUGCUCCGCUGACGAGUGGCGAACGGGUGAGUAAUGCAUCGGAACGUACCCAGUCGUGGGGAUAACGUAGCGAAAGUUACGCUAAUACCGCAUACGUCCUGAGGGAGAAAGCGGGGGACCGUAAGGCCUCGCGCGAUUGGAGCGGCCGAUGUCGGAUUAGCUAGUUGGUGGGUAAAGGCCUACCAAGGCGACGAUCCGUAGCGGGUCUGAGAGGAUGAUCCGCCACACUGGGACUGAGACACGGCCCAGACUCCUACGGGAGGCAGCAGUGGGGAAUUUUGGACAAUGGGGGCAACCCUGAUCCAGCAAUGCCGCGUGAGUGAAGAAGGCCUUCGGGUUGUAAAGCUCUUUUGUUUGGGAAGAAAUCCCUAAGGAUAAUACCCUUGGGGGAUGACGGUACCAAAAGAAUAAGCACCGGCUAACUACGUG
rnacentral:rRNA from 1 species